GGAUUAUGGGAAUAAUCUUUUAGAUAUUUUAUUAAUUAAGUUUAAAAAAUACAUGGCCCACAUCUCUCAGUCCCAUCUACCUCUUUAAAACCACCUCACCACUUCACCCAUUUCUGAUCUCUCACGCUCAAUUCCUGCAGCAAAGUUUACUUCACCCAUUUCUGAUCUCUCACACUCAAUUCCUGCAGCCAAGUUUAACGGUAAUAAUGCAAGAUAAUUUCUCUCUUUCAAUUCUUUUUCACAUCAGAAAUCUAACUUAUGUGAUAUACCAAAUGUGCAGAAACAAACAUCCUACACCAACUACUCAAGGUAUUAUGCCCCUUUUGUUUCAAUUAUAGAAGCCACCAACAGAGAAUCCCACACACACACAAUUACUUGGUAUUCGUGUUCUAUGUUCAAGCUUGUUCAACUGAUACAAGUUAUAAUUGAAGUCUUUCAAGAUGAAUUCAGCAAAAACCCUAUUUUUAUAUCGUGUUGACUGGAAAUCGGGCUGAGUCUCUGCUCUGUUUAAGUAUGAGUUAAGGAGGCGGCAGCCAUGGUGGCUCGUCGUCUCCGGCGGCGGCAGACCGCCGUUGUCCUAUUUCCGUCCUGCCAAAAAAUCAAAGGAAAAGGAGGGAGAGUUAUUAUUGCUUAUAAUAUGUAAAAUACAGAAAUGAAAAAGAAGAGGAAAAUAAAGAAAAAGGAAGGAAAGAGGGGGGGACGAGCCUGCCGAACUACGGUGCUCUUGUUCCGCCGGAAAAGAGAGAUUGGGGGAGGACUAGAAUUCUCAGUUUUAAAUUUUAGGAAGAAGGAAAACUAAAAAGAGAAAGAAGGGAGUUAGGAUUCAACCUGGUUGAGGCGAGGCGGAGUUGAUCGGCACAGAGAGAGGGAGACUGUAGCCGUGGAUCCGGCUGAGGAGAGGGUGAGAGAGAGGGGUCAGAGGGAAGAGAGAUGUCGAGGGAGAGGGGCCGCUCGCCGGCGGCAGAGAGACAGCCGAGAGAGAGGGAGCGGCGUGUUGUGUGUGAAAAUGUGUGUGUUUUGAUUAGGUUAAAAGAAGAAUGGGCUUGGGCCCCUUGGUUAUGAAAAUGGGCCUUCGAGCCUUAGUUAAAAGAAAAUCUGAUGGGUUUUAAUAAUUUAAAUUGUUUGCCCCCUUUAAUUUAAUUUAAUUUGGACCUGACUAAUACAUUUAGGGGGCGUUUACUUUGCAUGAUUGAUUAUAUGCAUGGUUGACUAUUUUUAUCGUAGGAUAUCUCAAAUCUCAUCCUUUCCAUUGAAUAAGAAUCAAACAAAAUUAGCUUGAAUGAUAAAAAUAAUCAAGGGUCUUGGGAUAUCUCAAUGUUGCAAUCCAUCAAAGUAAAUAAUGGAUUAAUGUUACUAUUUUUAUUUAUCAAGGUUAAUCUUCCAAAGUAAAUGCCCCCUUAAAUGUUGGAGUCCUAAAUUUAUUUUAUUAAAUUGAGCCUAUUUUAUUUAUUUAAAUGUUUGGACUUUUAAAAUAAAAAUGUUUUGUCUAGACCCUAAUAUUAUGAAUCAAAUAAAAUGUUUUCAUGGACUUAUAGUAUCGUCUUUUAAAUGUUAACGAUUAAAUUGUUUUAUAAUUAAUUCCAUUGCAAUGGAAUUAAAAUGUCUUAUUAAAUUAGCUUCAUGUAUAAACAAAUAAUGAGAUUAUUUAUUUAUAUCACUAAGAAAAUGUGGAAUUGUUUUAUGAAAUGAUUAAGCAUAUAAAUUUACUUAAUGACAAGUGAGUAUGUGAUUUAAUUGAGAUAUUAAAUUGCUAAGCAUGCGAAUUAUAAAUGAUUGAAUUAUUUAAGUGAGGAAAAAUGUAUUAAGUAUGAGAAAUCAUGAUUUAUGAUGAUAUAAUUGUCAAUAUGAUAUUAUAUAGUUUGUUAUUAUUAUUUGAUGGAAUAUUUUACUAAGUGGCGUGAGUAGAGGGAGUUAUGAAUUAUGCACAUGUUGAUAUACGAAUAAAUGGUUUCGAACCCAUAUGAUAGAUAGUGAUAAAUGUCUUGAGUUUGAUGUAUUGAGCGAGACAUGAUUAAUAUGGAUGCUAGAACCCUAAAAUCAAUUAAAAAAAAAGAGAUCCUUUAGUUCAAGAGACCAAUCUUCAUUUCUUACACGGCUUUCUUCUUGAACUUAUCGACUCUUCGUCAAUAAAGGUUCAGGCUGCAAGUGAAAGCUAAAGAAGAGAGUUCUCUACGCCUGUUGUGAGAACGAAUAAGGUAAGCUUACUUAAACACGUAUAUAGAGAUACCCUACGUAUAUUGACGAGGAUUGAUCGUUCGUUGCAUACUGCCCGACUCGCCGUAAUUGAUUUUUAAAAAAUCGGGUAUUUUCAAUUACCCGAUUAACCAUAUCUGGUCGAGAUUGGGUAGGAGUUUGUAGGUAAAAUUGGCGUAGGGUAUCCAUUUUACACCCCUCGAGGCUCAAGGCUAUCUAUCACGUCGAAAUAACAAUUAUCUGUUCUUUUCUUUUCUUUUCUUUUUCAAUAAUUCAAAAUUUAUCGGACUUUUACUUUUAAGAACAAGAAAGAUCCAAAUCACUCACUCCGUCUCUCUAGCGUCUAUCUGGGUUUUAAAAAGCCCGAGGCGCACAAGGCGCAAACAUUCCCCGGAGCCUAGGCGCAGGGCUUUAAGCUCAGGCGCGGGCUUUUCGUAGGCGAGGCACACUAAAGCCUAAAAAAUUCUAAUAUAUUUACCUACAAUAUAUUUUAUACCAAAAACACAAAUAUUUAACACCACAAAUACUUAAACACAUAAAUACUUAAUUUAAAAACACAUAAAAAUUCAAGACACACAAAUACUUAAGUUUUAAACUACGCAAGUCUAAAAGUACGAUCAAAUAUCGAAUAACUAAUCAAUAAUCAUCAUCAUUAAGUGCAUCAUCCCCAUCUCCUUCAUCAUCUUUGUCUUCACCAAUGUCCUCUUCCAUCUCCUCCGCACCCUCAUCCCCAUCCUCAUCUUCAUUCUCAUCUAAGAGUCUUCU
rnacentral:lncRNA from 1 species